rnacentral:rRNA from 1 species
UACGGGGGGGGCAAGCGUUGUUCGGAAUUACUGGGCGUAAAGGGCGCGUAGGCGGUUUGCUAAGUUGGAUGUGAAAACUCUGGGCUUAACCCAGAGCCUGCAUCCAAAACUGGCAAACUUGAGUACUGGAGGGGAAAGCGGAAUUCUGGUGUAGCGGUGAAAUGCGUAGAUAUCAGGAGGAACACCGGUGGCGAAAGCGCUCAUCUGGCCCGAUACUGACGCUGAUGCGCGAAAGCUAGGGGAGCGAACGGG